rnacentral:rRNA from 1 species
GACGAAGGGGGCAAGGCUUGUCCGGAAUUACUGGGCGUAAAGCGCAUGUAGGCGGAUAUUUAAGUCAGGGGUGAAAUCCCAGAGCUCAAAUCUGGAACUGCCUUUGAUACUGGGUAUCUUGAGUAUGGAAGAGGUAAGUGGAAGUCCGAGUGUAGAGGUGAAAUUCGUAGAUAUUCGGAGGAACACCAGUGGCGAAGGCGGCUUACUGGUCCAUUACUGACGCUGAGGUGCGAAAGCGUGGGGAGCAAACAGG